rnacentral:lncRNA from 1 species
GGAUGAGUCUCCAGGAGAGUUUGUUGUCAGGAUUUAACACUUACUUUUGGCAAAGGAGUGAUUUGUGCUGGAAAUGAACCGGGCAGACCCUGCUCCCAUCUCCGUCUGCCCCAAUCUCUGUGCUGCCCACUCCCCAUUAACAGUGCCUGUGAACCAAGUUACUGCACAACACCCACAAAUGGAGAGUGGAGGAACAUCACUUUCCACCCCAGGAUCAUGACGAGGGCUCUGUAACUUUAACAACUGGUCAGAAGACACCUGGGCUUGGGCUUGUACAGCAGCUCCGGAGCCUGCCCUCCCUUAUCAUCCAUGGCACUAUGACUUUGGAGGGUCUCAGCUCAGUCCUACCUGCAGAGGGGCUGUCAGUGCUGGGCAAGAAAUUAUGCAUGUUCAGGGCUGGGCCCUAAACCUCCUGUGGAGGCACCUGACAUGCCCCUCCCAUCUUCCUGUUGACUGAGGUGGUGAUGCCCAGGUGACCCUGGAAACCGCAUGUUGAUGGUAGCUUAGCAGCCAUCAGCCUGGGCCCCUGAAUGACCGCAUGGAGCAGAGUCUUCCUGCCGACUGGAAUUACCACUCCACAUUCCUGUGAGAGAGAAACAAGUGUUUUCCUCAUGAGAUUCUUGAGUUUUGGAUGUUUCUGUGCCAACACAGCUAACCCUGGCCCAAUACACAAGGUUAUGUGUUUCAUCUGCAUGUUUUUCAAAUUGUUGCAAAUCUUCAAACAUUUUUCCAACAAAUUUACUGAAAAAAAUCCACAUAUAACUGGCACCCCCACCAGUUCAAACCUGUGUUGUUCAAGAGUCAGCUAUUUUUAUGAGGUGUUUUCAAAAGUUUAUGGAAAAUGUAUCUUAUGAAUAAAACUAUGCAUGGAUUUCAAAUUUCUUUUGCACCAAAAUAAAC